GGGUUGUGAGGUUAAGCGACUAAGCGUACACGGUGGAUGCCCUGGCAGUCAGAGGCGAUGAAGGACGUGCUAAUCUGCGAAAAGCGUCGGUAAGGUGAUAUGAACCGUUAUAGCCGGCGAUGUCCGAAUGGGGAAACCCAGUGCAAUUCGUUGCACUAUCGUUAACUGAAUACAUAGGUUAACGAGGCGAACCGGGGGAACUGAAACAUCUAAGUACCCCGAGGAAAAGAAAUCAACCGAGAUUCCCCCAGUAGCGGCGAGCGAACGGGGAGCAGCCCAGAGUCUGAAUCAGCUUGUGUGUUAGUGGAACGGUCUGGAAAGUCCGACGGUACAGGGUGAUAGUCCCGUACACCAAAAUGCACAGGUUGUGAACUCGAAGAGUAGGGCGGGACACGUGGUAUCCUGUCUGAAUAUGGGGGGACCAUCCUCCAAGGCUAAAUACUCCUGACUGACCGAUAGUGAACCAGUACCGUGAGGGAAAGGCGAAAAGAACCCCGGCGAGGGGAGUGAAAAAGAACCUGAAACCGUGUACGUACAAGCAGUGGGAGCACCUUCGGGUGUGACUGCGUACCUUUUGUAUAAUGGGUCAGCGACUUAUAUUCUGUAGCAAGGUUAACCGUAUAGGGGAGCCGCAGGGAAACCGAGUCUUAACUGGGCGUUAAGUUGCAGGGUAUAGACCCGAAACCCGGUGAUCUAGCCAUGGGCAGGUUGAAGGUUGGGUAACACUAACUGGAGGACCGAACCGACUAAUGUUGAAAAAUUAGCGGAUGACUUGUGGCUGGGGGUGAAAGGCCAAUCAAACCGGGAGAUAGCUGGUUCUCCCCGAAAGCUAUUUAGGUAGCGCCUCGUGAACUCAUCUUCGGGGGUAGAGCACUGUUUCGGCUAGGGGGUCAUCCCGACUUACCAACCCGAUGCAAACUACGAAUACCGAAGAAUGUUAUCACGGGAGACACACGGCGGGUGCUAACGUCCGUCGUGAAGAGGGAAACAACCCAGACCGCCAGCUAAGGUCCCAAAGUCAUGGUUAAGUGGGAAACGAUGUGGGAAGGCACAGACAGCCAGGAUGUUGGCUUAGAAGCAGCCAUCAUUUAAAGAAAGCGUAAUAGCUCACUGGUCGAGUCGGCCUGCGCGGAAGAUGUAACGGGGCUAAACCAUGCACCGAAGCUGCGGCAGCGACACUAUGUGUUGUUGGGUAGGGGAGCGUUCUGUAAGCCUGCGAAGGUGUGCUGUGAGGCAUGCUGGAGGUAUCAGAAGUGCGAAUGCUGACAUAAGUAACGAUAAAGCGGGUGAAAAGCCCGCUCGCCGGAAGACCAAGGGUUCCUGUCCAACGUUAAUCGGGGCAGGGUGAGUCGACCCCUAAGGCGAGGCCGAAAGGCGUAGUCGAUGGGAAACAGGUUAAUAUUCCUGUACUUGGUGUUACUGCGAAGGGGGGACGGAGAAGGCUAUGUUAGCCGGGCGACGGUUGUCCCGGUUUAAGCAUGUAGGCUGGUUAUCCAGGCAAAUCCGGAUAAUCAAGGCUGAGGUGUGAUGACGAGGCACUACGGUGCUGAAGUAACAAAUGCCCUGCUUCCAGGAAAAGCCUCUAAGCAUCAGGUAACAUCAAAUCGUACCCCAAACCGACACAGGUGGUCAGGUAGAGAAUACCAAGGCGCUUGAGAGAACUCGGGUGAAGGAACUAGGCAAAAUGGUGCCGUAACUUCGGGAGAAGGCACGCUGGUGUGUAGGUGAAGUCCCUGCGGAUGGAGCUGAGACCAGUCGAAGAUACCAGCUGGCUGCAACUGUUUAUUAAAAACACAGCACUGUGCAAACACGAAAGUGGACGUAUACGGUGUGACGCCUGCCCGGUGCCGGAAGGUUAAUUGAUGGGGUUAUCCGUAAGGAGAAGCUCUUGAUCGAAGCCCCGGUAAACGGCGGCCGUAACUAUAACGGUCCUAAGGUAGCGAAAUUCCUUGUCGGGUAAGUUCCGACCUGCACGAAUGGCGUAAUGAUGGCCAGGCUGUCUCCACCCGAGACUCAGUGAAAUUGAACUCGCUGUGAAGAUGCAGUGUACCCGCGGCAAGACGGAAAGACCCCGUGAACCUUUACUAUAGCUUGACACUGAACAUUGAGCCUUGAUGUGUAGGAUAGGUGGGAGGCUUUGAAGCGUGGACGCCAGUCUGCGUGGAGCCAACCUUGAAAUACCACCCUUUAAUGUUUGAUGUUCUAACGUUGGCCCCUGACCGGGGUUGCGGACAGUGUCUGGUGGGUAGUUUGACUGGGGCGGUCUCCUCCCAAAGCGUAACGGAGGAGCACGAAGGUUAGCUAAUCCUGGUCGGACAUCAGGAGGUUAGUGCAAUGGCAUAAGCUAGCUUGACUGCGAGCGUGACGGCGCGAGCAGGUGCGAAAGCAGGUCAUAGUGAUCCGGUGGUUCUGAAUGGAAGGGCCAUCGCUCAACGGAUAAAAGGUACUCCGGGGAUAACAGGCUGAUACCGCCCAAGAGUUCAUAUCGACGGCGGUGUUUGGCACCUCGAUGUCGGCUCAUCACAUCCUGGGGCUGAAGUAGGUCCCAAGGGUAUGGCUGUUCGCCAUUUAAAGUGGUACGCGAGCUGGGUUUAGAACGUCGUGAGACAGUUCGGUCCCUAUCUGCCGUGGGCGCUGGAGAAUUGAGGGGGGCUGCUCCUAGUACGAGAGGACCGGAGUGGACGCAUCACUGGUGUUCGGGUUGUCAUGCCAAUGGCACUGCCCGGUAGCUAAAUGCGGAAGAGAUAAGUGCUGAAAGCAUCUAAGCACGAAACUUGCCCCGAGAUGAGUUCUCCCUGAGACUUUAAGUCUCCUGAAGGAACGUUGAAGACGACGACGUUGAUAGGCCGGGUGUGUAAGCGCAGCGAUGCGUUGAGCUAACCGGUACUAAUGAACCGUGAGGCUUAACCUUACAACGCCGAAG
rnacentral:rRNA from 1 species